GGGUGCAUUACAGGGCAAUUACUCCAUUGGCAGACAACCACUCUAUCUGUAUGUAGUUAAUCAAACAAAAUAUGGAGGAGUAAGUUUAGUACUGCCAAAGGAGAUUUGCCCGGCAAUUCACAC
rfam:Beta vulgaris subsp. vulgaris Bvchr8.sca001.con0025.1, whole genome shotgun sequence.